CCACACGCUUCCGCUUAAAAAGAGCAGAGGAUCUCUGCGCCGGGGUGGGGAGAAGCGGUAUCCUCACAGCUUUGUAAUGGGAAUACCCACCCUAAUCUGUUCUGAACUUGCAUGAAAAUGGAAGAAACACCUGUUAUUACGCCUCUCCACGCUUCAGUUUCUUCAGCAGUACUCCAGAGACGAUGAUUUGUAAGUGGAAAAAACUGAAAUCUCUACAGCCAGUGUAAGCCUGCCAACCUUUGCCUCCACUGAGUGCCCAGGAGAAUCAAAUGGAUCUGAUCCAGGCUUACAGUCAUAUCUCGAUUCAUCAUCUCUUCUCUUUCAAGAAAUAGUUUCCUACUACUAUUUAAGCAAAUCUUUGCAGAUUCGUGCUGGGUUAUCUCGUGUGCCAAGAGGAUUCUUGAUGCUGUGCAGUAAAUUGCUAAGAUUACAUUCGUUAACAUCAUCACCAAUCUCAUCAGAAAAAUCUCUGUGGUAGCCUUGAAAACCAACAGCCUGCAAUCGCAGUGAAAACAAGAAGCCUGGAACCCACAGGAGGGAGCAGAAUGGGGCUGGAGUUGCUUCAAAGCCUCAUUUCCAGUGAAAUGUCAUUAUUUGACCUUUCUGGUGGUUCCCUUAAAGACUUGCAAGACUGUCUGUAUUUUACCUGACUCAGAGCUCACUCAAUGCAAAAAGUCUUUCCCAAGGAACAUUAAAAAAAAAAAAUUAGAUGGAAUUGUUUAACUUUGUGGCUACUGGAAACAUUAGAAAACAGUUGGGGCAAACAAUAGGCUAAGAAAAGCUAGGGAAUGAGAUGUCCAUAGAGAUUCUAAAAAACUCUGACACAUUCCUGGGAAUCUAGAAGGCCAUGUGCAUGUAUAGGGCUGUGCACAUGAUCAGGAAAAACACAAGAAGGCCCUAAGUUCUCUCUUCUGGCUGACCUUCAGGCUCUGUGAAAAUAGGAAAUUAAAACUCGGGUAUAGUUGUCAAUUGCCUGGCUGAGCAUUGAAGGGAUGCCCCAACAUGCUCACAGAGACCCUUGGCAAAAACUGGGAGACUUACUGGUUCUGGCAUUUAAGGAAAUCUCUCUCCAAUCCUUAGCUGACCACUAAGCUACUGAGUAGAGACUUUAGUGGUCACAUAUGUGAAAGAAUACAGACUUUAUACCUUUAGGAAAAGUCACUAAACAAACAACAAAAACACAAAUAGCAACAAUAAACACUGAGGUUGGGGUGAAGAAUUUGACUUCCAGAGAUGCCAUUUUAUAUUAUUUAAAAUGUCCAGUUUUCAAGAAAAAAUAAGGCAUGCUGAGUAACAUUAAAGUAUGACCCCUAUACAUGGGAAAAAGCUAAGCAAUCAAUAGAAAUAGAAAUUGUCCCUGAGGAAGCCCAGAUGUUGAACUUAGUAGACAAAACUUUAGCUAUUUUAGGUAUGUUCAAAGAACUAAAGUAAACCAUGUCUACAGAACUAAAGGAAGUACAAAAAAGAUGUCUUACCAAAUAAAAAAUAUAAAGAGGAAAUUAUAGAAAAGAACCAAGUAGAAGUUUUGUAGUUGAACAAUAACUGAAAUCAAAAUUUACUAGAGAGGCUCAACUGUAGAUUUCAGUAGAUAGAAGAAAGAAUCAGUGAACCUGAAAACAGUUUAUUGAGAUUAUCCAGUCAGAGGCGUAUAAAGAAAAAUGAAACAAAAUGAACAGGCUCAGAGACAUACAGGACAUCAUAAAACAUACCAAUGCAUGAAUGAUGGGGGAGUCUCAGAAGAGAAGAAGAGAGAAAUAGGGGUAGAAAGAAUAUUUCAAAAAAUAAUGGCUGAAAAUGUGCCAAAUUUGAUGAAAAACAUUAAUCUCCACAUCCAAGAAGCUCGAUGAAUUCCCCUAGGCACAUCAUAAUCAAACUGUUGAAAGCUGAAGACAAAGAGAGAAUCCUGAAUGCAAAGAGAAGAGACUCAUCAAUCCAAGGGAUGAGAUUUUUUUCAUCAAAAACCAUA